AUGUGUGAUGUGCUCAAGAGAAUGACGUCUCUACAAUAUGGAUGUUGCCCAGAUAGCAGAGAUCAUAAAAACAGGAGAAUCAUGGGUAAGGUGUCCCUUUCAUGUCAAUCCUUCUUAGAAGUGAUGCAACAUGUUAGUAACUGUAUAGAUGGUUCAAUUGAUUGUGAAGUGUGUGUUCAUGGAGGUGGAAGGGGGGCAUUGCGAGCCGGAUUUGUCACUACUGAGGUGGCAAACAUGGACUGGGGUUGCGGAGUGCAAAUGAAGCUAAAGACAACAUAUAAUUAUUUAGAUCAUUUCUCUCUGUAUACAUGGUUGAGUUAA
rnacentral:rRNA from 1 species